rnacentral:lncRNA from 1 species
CCCGUGUCAUAGACACCCCCUCUCAGGUCCCAGCAACAUCAAGGCCUGAGAUGAUAGUUGCUGGGACCUGUUGGUCCAAAUGGGCCCCCUACACCCUGCCCGUGCCCCCCGGCCCCGGGGCCUAGGCUCUCGCUAUCCUAGCCUGGGCCUGGCUAGACGGAGAUAUCGUCUUCGACGCCUACAACUUAGAGCAGCACCCCAGAGAAUGUUUAAGCCUAGCAGGCCGAGGUACCGGACCCAGCGUAGGAAUCCUCCCAAUUUAUUGGCUUCAAACAGCACCAGCCUGUGGCUCCUUCCCCAUCGGUCCCUGGAUUUGGAGAUUGAGGUGCAGAGAAGAGAAGGGACUGGUACGAGGUCCUAUAGCAACAGUUAGACAAAUGUAUCACCUGGGAAGAUUGCUCUUCUUCUGAGGAAAGACCCCACCCCACCCCCCGAUCUAUAUAUCCGGGCCAAGAGAAGCCUACCCUUGGAGCAGCUUUUGAAUAUAUCACUUCAGUCCUAUUGGUCUUAGUUAGCUUCCUUAUUUCCUUUGGCGGUGUUUCAGGGAACAUGGCAUGGAACAUGGCUGUCAGACCUGGAGAGGCCCUUGAGCCAGCCUGGCCAACUACUCAUCUUACAGAAGGGGAAACUGAGGGGCAGAGCAGCUCGCACAGGGAAGGCAGUGGCCAAGCCUGGCUUCGAUCCCAGGUCCUCUGACCCCCCCAUUCCCCCUGAGCUUUUGCUCUUCCUCCAGGGUCUAGGGAUGCCUGCUGAGAGCCGGGAUGAGGGCCAGAGACAGGGCAGCAGAUAGGGCCAUCCCCACCGUCCCCUCGGGUGCGGUUCUUCAAAGGAGGAGGAAGAGGAGGCUAGGAGGCUAAAGAGCAAGUAUGCCAGUUUGGGAGAGGAGGGGGACCUGGGGAGGAGACCCAAAGGCCAACAGCAAUCAAUCUGUUAGCCUGUCCAGCUCAGCUUGGGAAUCCCCAAAGGGCCGCCUUAUUCACUUGCCCUCCUGCUCAGUCUUGCCCGGUCUCUCCACAGGCACGGAGGGCCUCAGUCAUAGCCAUCAUCAUAGAGAGCUUAGAGGCCAUCAGGUUCAAUCCCUUGAAUUUACAAAUGAGGAAACUGAGGCACAAAACUUUUUGCCCAAGGUCAUUCCGCUAGUACAUGUCUGAGGAGAGAUUUGAACCCAGGUCUUGACUCCAAACCCAGUUCUCUAUCCAUUAGUCCCAGCCAAUGUCUUGGAAGGAGGAAUAUAGGAUCUGAGCACCGAGGGUGGGACAGGGAGAGUCUUGCCCAGGGCUGACCCUAGCCAGUCUCUGCAUGUGCUGGGAGAUAUGGCCAGACUGUCCUGAGACUGGCCUGGAGGGCUCUGGGAGAACUGUAGGCAGGUCCAUAAGCCAUGGGAUUGGGCCCAGACAAGAAUAGAUAGAAAGGGGAUUGGGGCCAAAGCCCCCAUCUGACUGGGAAGACCUGGCUUUUCCCAUCUAGAUCCCUCUGUGUGUGACCCGGCUGCCCGCUCCCUGGUCUCUUGGUGCUAUACUCGGUUGAGAAGUGGGGAGACCGAGCUUGUUACCAGCUCUGACUCAUGGAAAAUAAUAGCCCAUAUCCAGGAAGAAGAGACUCUGGGGAAGUGACUUGCCCAAGGUCAUGACAUCUGUGAGUGGGUGGCAGAACCCAAACGCUCUGACUUCUGGCUCCUUGUUAACAAACAUGUCGG